AUGUACGAGCUAUUUCCAGCUGCAUUUGCAACAGUCUUCAUUCUUCACUUGGUAGUAACUUCGGUGGCUCAGAAUUCAGUGACGCUGUGGAAGAACAGGAACUUCGGUGGUCAGCAAUGCACGAUUCCAGUACAAGGAUGCCAACCGGUUUGUCCUGGAAUGGAAGCUCAGACUUCGUCUCUUCAAGGGAAUACUUCUUGCGUCAAUUUUUACCGGCGUCCAAACUGCACGGCGUACAUGAGCACUUGGCAUUCGACGGACGGGGUUGUUUGGAACUGGAAACACACGCGCUUUCAAGACUCCAUCGUCUCCGUCGGGGACUGUAAACAACCGGUUUUCCCAAUGAAUUCCAUGACAUUCUACGAGCAUAAGAAUUUCGGAGGGAAGUUCUGCAAACAUACCGGUAAGUGGCUGCAGACCGAUGUGUCCCGAACUGGACAACCGAGCUUCCUCCGCUGAAGGAACCGCUACCUGCGUCAAACUGUUCGACCAGGCCAACUGCAGAGGUUUUCUGCGCUUGCUGGAUCUCCAGGAUAACGCCAACAUGAAUUUCGCCGACUAUAAUUAUCAAGAUAGUGUCUCUUCAAUCGCGGACUGUGACAACAACACGGCCACAUUUUACCAGCACAAGGAUUUAAAAGGGAAAAGCUGCGCAAUCCCUUUGGCAGGUUGCAAACCUAUGUGCCCGGACUUGGACAACAAGCCUCGUCCGCUGACGGAAACUACCUCUGCGUGAAGGCGUAUAGUGAGCCUAAUUGCAAUGGGUAUUUAGGCAUAAUAUGGCCAGACGAGAGCACCCUUCGGAUUUCGAGGAUACGGAUUUUCCAAGACAAGAUAUCAUCCGUCAGCGACUGCGCCAGCAAGGAGACUGUUACAUUCUUUCGAGCAUAAGAAGUUUCAAGGGAGGAGAUGCGACAUACAUGUGAAGG
rnacentral:lncRNA from 1 species